rnacentral:rRNA from 6 species
ACAGAGAGCUUGCUCUCGGGUGACGAGCGGCGGACGGGUGAGUAAUGUCUGGGAAACUGCCUGAUGGAGGGGGAUAACUACUGGAAACGGUAGCUAAUACCGCAUAACGUCGCAAGACCAAAGUGGGGGACCUUCGGGCCUCAUGCCAUCAGAUGUGCCCAGAUGGGAUUAGCUGGUAGGUGGGGUAACGGCUCACCUAGGCGACGAUCCCUAGCUGGUCUGAGAGGAUGACCAGCCACACUGGAACUGAGACACGGUCCAGACUCCUACGGGAGGCAGCAGUGGGGAAUAUUGCACAAUGGGCGCAAGCCUGAUGCAGCCAUGCCGCGUGUGUGAAGAAGGCCUUCGGGUUGUAAAGCACUUUCAGCGGGGAGGAAGGCGGUGAGGUUAAUAACCUCAUCGAUUGACGUUACCCGCAGAAGAAGCACCGGCUAACUCCGUGCCAGCAGCCGCGGUAAUACGGAGGGUGCAAGCGUUAAUCGGAAUUACUGGGCGUAAAGCGCACGCAGGCGGUCUGUCAAGUCGGAUGUGAAAUCCCCGGGCUCAACCUGGGAACUGCAUUCGAAACUGGCAGGCUAGAGUCUUGUAGAGGGGGGUAGAAUUCCAGGUGUAGCGGUGAAAUGCGUAGAGAUCUGGAGGAAUACCGGUGGCGAAGGCGGCCCCCUGGACAAAGACUGACGCUCAGGUGCGAAAGCGUGGGGAGCAAACAGGAUUAGAUACCCUGGUAGUCCACGCUGUAAACGAUGUCGAUUUGGAGGUUGUGCCCUUGAGGCGUGGCUUCCGGAGCUAACGCGUUAAAUCGACCGCCUGGGGAGUACGGCCGCAAGGUUAAAACUCAAAUGAAUUGACGGGGGCCCGCACAAGCGGUGGAGCAUGUGGUUUAAUUCGAUGCAACGCGAAGAACCUUACCUGGUCUUGACAUCCACAGAACUUUCCAGAGAUGGAUUGGUGCCUUCGGGAACUGUGAGACAGGUGCUGCAUGGCUGUCGUCAGCUCGUGUUGUGAAAUGUUGGGUUAAGUCCCGCAACGAGCGCAACCCUUAUCCUUUGUUGCCAGCGGUUAGGCCGGGAACUCAAAGGAGACUGCCAGUGAUAAACUGGAGGAAGGUGGGGAUGACGUCAAGUCAUCAUGGCCCUUACGACCAGGGCUACACACGUGCUACAAUGGCAUAUACAAAGAGAAGCGACCUCGCGAGAGCAAGCGGACCUCAUAAAGUAUGUCGUAGUCCGGAUUGGAGUCUGCAACUCGACUCCAUGAAGUCGGAAUCGCUAGUAAUCGUAGAUCAGAAUGCUACGGUGAAUACGUUCCCGGGCCUUGUACACACCGCCCGUCACACCAUGGGAGUGGGUUGCAAAAGAAGUAGGUAGCUUAACCUUCGGGAGGGCGCUUACCACUUUGUGAUUCAUGACUGGGGGAAG